rnacentral:tRNA from 1 species
UAGACUAUGGUGUGGUGUGGUAGCACGGAGAAUUUUGAAUUCUUAGGGGUAGGUUCGAUUCCUACUAUUCUAG